GAUGAACGCUGGCGGCGUGCCUAAUACAUGCAAGUCGAGCGAAUGGAUUAAGAGCUUGCUCUUAUGAAGUUAGCGGCGGACGGGUGAGUAACACGUGGGUAACCUGCCCAUAAGACUGGGAUAACUCCGGGAAACCGGGGCUCAUACCGGAUAACAUUUUGAACCGCAUGGUUCGAAAUUGAAAGGCGGCUUCGGCUGUCACUUAUGGAUGGACCCGCGUCGCAUUAUCUAGUUGGUGAGGUGACGGCUCACCAAGGCAACGAUGCGUAGCCGACCUGAGAGGGUGAUCGGCCACACUGGGACUGAGACACGGCCCAGACUCCUACGGGAGGCAGCAGUAGGGAAUCUUCCGCAAUGGACGAAAGUCUGACGGAGCAACGCCGCGUGAGUGAUGAAGGCUUUCGGGUCGUAAAACUCUGUUGUUAGGGAAGAACAAGUGCUAGUUGAAUAAGCUGGCACCUUGACGGUACCUAACCAGAAAGCCACGGCUAACUACGUGCCAGCCGCCGCAGUAA
rnacentral:rRNA from 1 species